rnacentral:lncRNA from 1 species
GGGCGAAUGAGACAGGCUGCAUAAAUGGUUGAGUUCCUUGGUGAGAGCCAGUGUGUACAUAAAUAUUACUUGCUGAAGUUUGAAUGGGAGUGUGUCAUGAAGUCUGGAAGUCUGGCAUCACCCUUUCAAGCAUGCCGUGUUGCUCAAUGGAGUGGCAUUGUUGAAGUGACCCAUUAAAAACCAGUGAGAAAAACAAGGGGCAGGAAAGAUAGCUCCUGGGAGGAGGGGAGUGGAAAGCUCCGUAAGGGAUCACGGGUUCUUUACCUGUACCCUCUCCAGAGUUUAGCCCAAUGUGGAAUAUUUAGGAGCUGCUCAGGAUAAAAUGAGCUCAGGAUCACCUGCCAAGGUUAUCAGAGACGACUGUGUGCUCAGAACGGACAACAGAGAAUGCAGCCUCCGUGAUGAGAUCACCGGGGCACUGUGAAAGAGACAGUGCUUGGCAGAGGCGGUUACUUCCCAAACCUGACUGGGUGUGUUUGGCCCUGUAUUAUCUGGUUAGAUACAAGGCUGGCUUCAGUGAGGGGUUAAGAGACAGCUUCCUGUACGGUGGUCUGGACUCCUCCACUUAAACAUGUCUCCGCCCAAAGCUAGGAGUCCCCCUUUUAGACUUCAAUUCCUUUACGUAUUUUCCCCUGUUCAAAUGUGAACACCUUGUCACCAGUGAUGAACUGAAAGGUUUUUCCUCCCAGUAGAGCUUCCAGUGGAGAACCACACCCUACCAGUUACAGGCAUGAUUAGGAAAGAGUUUGGAAGCUAUGGCUGUCACCACCAUGGAAAGCUGGAUCCAGGUGUUUCAGGGACCAGAGAUUCAGACUCAGAUUCUACUUGGCUUGACCUUCCUUCAAGAGGCCUUCAGGACUUUGCAUAAUGAAGAGUGGGUGCAUAUUCAUCAGAUCCCUCAGGCUGAGAAAUGGAGCCUAACGGAAAAGAUGUUCCCAGUACGGCUGUCCAAUAAUCAGUGGUAUUAAGUACUAGUGUUAAACUUCACCUCAGG